rnacentral:rRNA from 1 species
UACGAGGGGGGCGAGCGUUGUUCGGAAUUAUUGGGCGUAAAGGGCGCGUAGGCGGUGUGGCAAGUCAGGUGUGAAACCUCCAGGCUCAACUUGGAGCUUGCAUCUGAAACUGCCGUGCUAGAGUGUGGGAGAGGAGAGUGGAAUUCCUGGUGUAGCGGUGAAAUGCGUAGAUAUCAGGAGGAACACCGGUGGCGAAGGCGGCUCUCUGGACCACAACUGACGCUGAGGCGCGAAAGCUAGGGGAGCAAACAGG